rnacentral:rRNA from 1 species
AGUGAACGCUGGCGGUAGGCCUAACACAUGCAAGUCGAACGGCAGCACAGUAAGAGCUUGCUCUUACGGGUGGCGAGUGGCGGACGGGUGAGGAAUACAUCGGAAUCUACUUUUUCGUGGGGGAUAACGUAGGGAAACUUACGCUAAUACCGCAUACGACCUACGGGUGAAAGCAGGGGAUCUUCGGACCUUGCGCGAUUGAAUGAGCCGAUGUCGGAUUAGCUAGUUGGCGGGGUAAAGGCCCACCAAGGCGACGAUCCGUAGCUGGUCUGAGAGGAUGAUCAGCCACUCUGGAACUGAGACACGGUCCAGACUCCUACGGGAGGCAGCAGUGGGGAAUAUUGGACAAUGGGCGCAAGCCUGAUCCAGCCAUACCGCGUGGGUGAAGAAGGCCUUCGGGUUGUAAAGCCCUUUUGUUGGGAAAGAAAAGCAGCAGGUUAAUACCCCGCUGUUCUGACGGUACCCAAAGAAUAAGCACCGGCUAACUUCGUG